CUUGCUCAUUUCCCCUUCUAUUACUCAACAAACUCAGAGAUUUUCAACAAACUCAGAGAUUUGGGCAAGAAGACCCAGUGGAAAUAGAUCAUGGAUGAUUUGGAUGCUUUGUUGGCAGAACUGGAACAAACAACGGAGAGUCUGAGUGUGAAUGAUUCAGACCCAACUGUUUGCUUUCUUCUCAAGCGCGACAACAAACCAGCAAAAACAGAAAGCCAUUUAACCCAACAGCACAAAUCAACACCUCAAGAAGCCAAAAAGGUAUUUUUCUUAAGCUAUAUAAGUCUUAGGAAGCUACAGGUUAUGAAAGGAAGUGCU
rnacentral:lncRNA from 1 species